GAUGAACGCUGGCGGCGUGCCUAAUACAUGCAAGUCGAGCGAACAGACGAGGAGCUUGCUCCUUCGACGUUAGCGGCGGACGGGUGAGUAACACGUAGGUAACCUACCUAUAAGACUGGGAUAACUUCGGGAAACCGGAGCUAAUACCGGAUAAUAUUUCGAACCGCAUGGUUCGAUAGUGAAAGAUGGCUUUGCUAUCACUUAUAGAUGGACCUGCGCCGUAUUAGCUAGUUGGUAAGGUAACGGCUUACCAAGGCAACGAUACGUAGCCGACCUGAGAGGGUGAGCGGCCACACUGGAACUGAGACACGGUCCAGACUCCUACGGGAGGCAGCAGUAGGGAAUCUUCCGCAAUGGGCGAAAGCCUGACGGAGCAACGCCGCGUGAGUGAUGAAGGUCUUCGGAUCGUAAAACUCUGUUAUUAGGGAAGAACAAACGUGUAAGUAACUGUGCACGUCUUGACGGUACCUAAUCAGAAAGCCACGGCUAACUACGUG
rnacentral:rRNA from 1 species